rnacentral:tRNA from 1 species
GCCUUUGUAGCUCAGUGGUUAAAGUAUGGUGGCUUUUAUGCCUUUUAUGCCAAGUCGUGAGUUCGAUUCUCACCCGAGGCC